rnacentral:rRNA from 1 species
CGGGUGAGUAACGCGUGAGGAACCUGCCUCAAAGAGGGGGACAACAGUUGGAAACGACUGCUAAUACCGCAUAAGCCCACGGCUCGGCAUCGAGCAGAGGGAAAAGGAGCAAUCCGCUUUGAGAUGGCCUCGCGUCCGAUUAGCUAGUUGGUGAGGUAACGGCCCACCAAGGCAACGAUCGGUAGCCGGACUGAGAGGUUGAACGGCCACAUUGGGACUGAGACACGGCCAG